rnacentral:rRNA from 1 species
UACGGAGGAUGCGAGCGUUAUCCGGAUUUAUUGGGUUUAAAGGGUGCGUAGGCGGAAGCUUAAGUCAGCGGUGAAAGUUUUCAGCUCAACUGGAAAAUUGCCGUUGAAACUGGGUCUCAUGAGUAUAAACGAAGUAGGCGGAAUUCGUGGUGUAGCGGUGACAUGCAUAGAUAUCACGAGGAACUCCGAUUGCGAAGGCAGCUUACUAGGCUAUAACUGACGCUGAAGCACGAAAGCGUGGGGAUCAAAC